CCUAUGACACUGCACAGAUUAAUACUCCACUGAGCAAAUUAAUCCUUGAGAUUUCACUCACUGCCUGUGGCUUAGCAAUUUUAAUUGGCUCUAAACUGCCACCUGAAUUGAUGUGAGAGUGUAGGGACGUCAGAGACGGCACGAGCCGCACUCACGCAUGGAUAUAACUUCUGGAAAAGGAUGGCGGGGGUGGAGGGCUGUUGCAGAUGCCAAGGGGUGAGUGCACCUCGGCCUUCCGGUUCCCAUCUCUGUAUUUCUGUCACCAUCGAGGAAGCGGUCGGAAGAGUUGUAGAGCUGUUCUUGAGGACCUGUGCCUCCUUCCCCUGCCCCUCCGGCCCCGGGUUCCGGUUCCCCAUUAACUGGCCAACUCUGCAAACUUUUAGAGAAAAGGAACCUGAGGCUCAGAGAUCUCAGCUGGCUCAAGCUUACACGGCCGAAAGACAAUAGCUCUGCAAGCUGGAUUCCUGCUCAGUAUUCUGCAUCAAGCUCCCACUCUGAGUCUUCCCCCAUCGCUGGGCAGGUGGACACUCCCUGAGAUCCCGCUGUAACUCCCAUCCUCCUGCGUUCUUGCAGCGCGAACCCUGCAUGAUCUUGGUUAGUCUCACAGCAGUAGUCGUCACUAAACCACGUCAGGCUGGGCAUGCUGACUCACAGUGAUCCCAGGACUGAGGAAGCAGAGGCAGGAAGAUCAUCCAGAGCUGGAAGCUAGCCUGGGCUACUUAGCAAGACUAUAUAUAACACAUACACACAUUAGGAAGUCCUUUUGCUAGAGAAGACACAAACAUUAGAACAGGACAUUUUAGCGAGCCACAGGCCUUAACAAAUGAAGUCAUAAUAGCCAUGCCAUCUUCCGUUGGAACAAAUGUAAUUCUGUAUUAGCAAUAGUCUCAAUAUCCAGUAGUGGCACGCUACCAGUAAUAGUAAUCCGAGCAUGAUAUCAUGCGUUCUUUUCAGGAUUGUGUCAUUUUAUCUUUAAAAGUGCCCCCACAGGGCCGAGACUGUGGUGAGUGGGCAGAGCACUUGCCUAGGAUUUGUGGUGCCCAAGGUUCAACCUCCAGCACUGCAUACACUGGGCAUUAUGGUGCACACCCGGAACCCCAACAAUCAGGAGGCAGAGGCAAGAAGGUCGGAGUUCAACCUCAUCCUCAGCUAUGUAGAGAACUUGAGUCUAGCCUGUGCUUUGUGAGGCACUAACUCAGGGGGAAAAAGUGCCCUGCAAGCUGGGUUCACACCUGCAAUUCCAGCACUCGGAAAGCUAAAGCAGGAGGACUGAGUGUUUGAAAACAGCCUGGCUACAUGGUAAGACUCUGUCUCAAAGAACCUGUUUUUCUGGCGCCGGAAAGAUUGCUCAGUGAUUAAGAGCACUUAUUUCCUCCAAGGACCUGGGUUUGAGUCCCACACCUUCAUGGUCGCCAACAAUCAUCAGCAACUAUAGCUUCAGAGGAGCCAAUGCCUAAGCUGUUCAAGGGCAGCCAGGAAAUGCUGGAUUUGAACCGGAGCCAUCUCCGGUUGAAUUAGGCAUCUAAUAAUAAUAAUAAUACCACAGACUCAGCAAAUAUUGCAGUACUCUAGAAGACGUAAAGUUAGUCUCAAGCAUUAAAACAGAGCACAGAGGGACUGAGAGUGGGGCUCAGCAAGAGACCUAACGUGCCUAACAUGCCCUAGGUCGCAGCCCCAGCAAUGUAGAAACGAAAAGAAGCUCAGAUCAACACCCGGUAGCCAGUCCUCAAAGCACUUGAAUUGCAAACGUGAGGUCCUUAGUUCUUCCAGAAAGCCAGGUUUGGUGUUGCACACCUGUAAUUCAGGCACUGGGGAGCACAGACAGGUGGGGCCUGAGGCUCACUGGCCAGUCACCCCAGCUUCCUCGGUGAGUCCAGUGAGAGACUGUCUCAAGAGCAAAAACAAAAAUUAAAAAAGAAAGAAAAAGUUGGACAGCACCUGAAGGUGAACCUCCGGCCUCUAUACACACUCACACAUGUGCGGGUGCUCCUGCGAUGUCCACCCCUCACACACGUGCAUAUGUGAACGCACACACAAACAAUGAACUCAAACAGAUACAAGAGUACAGGGAAUAACACAGAAAGAUGUAUCUGGGGCCAAACCCACACCCUGCCACUCCGACCUCCAUUUUCCCUUCUGUAAGCUGGGAUUAAUAACACCUACUUCUCUGUAUUCAGGUGGAGAUUCAAAUGAGAUAAUGCACAUUGUGCUCUAUCACAUGGUUCCAGAACACUAGGUAUUGGCUGAAAAUCUCAGUGCUUAGGCUGAUGCUGGCUGACCCUCCUGUCAAAGGAGAGACCCUCCAAUAUCCAGGAAAAAGAGAUGGGCUAGUUACAGUCCGAGGCUCUCCCCCUUUGACUC